rnacentral:rRNA from 1 species
AUUCCAGCUCCAAUAGCGUAUAUUAAAGUUGUUGCAGUUAAAAAGCUCGUAGUUGGAUCUCGGGAGCGGUCCGGCGGUCCUCCUCGCGGAGGUUUCACUGCCGCGUUGCCGCUCUCACCUUACCGGCUCUCUCCGGGUGCUCUUCGCUGAGUGCCCGGGGCGGCCGGAAUGUUUACUUUGAAAAAAUUAGAGUGUUCAAAGCAGGCGUUCUCGCCUGAAUAUUGGCGCAUGGAAUAAUGGAAUAGGACCUCGGUUCUAUUUUGUUGGUUUUCGGAAGUCGAGGUAAUGAUUAGUAGGAACGAUCCGGGGGCAUUCGUAUUGCACGGUUAGAGGUGAAAUUCUUGGAUCCGUGCAAGACGAACUACAGCGAAGGCGUCUGCCAAGUGCGUCUUCAUUA